UGGCGAACGGGUGAGUAAUAUAUCGGAACGUGCCCAGUAGUGGGGGAUAACUGCUCGAAAGAGCAGCUAAUACCGCAUACGACCUGAGGGUGAAAGGGGGGGAUCGCAAGACCUCUCGCUAUUGGAGCGGCCGAUAUCAGAUUAGCUAGUUGGUGGGGUAAAGGCCUACCAAGGCAACGAUCUGUAGUUGGUCUGAGAGGACGACCAGCCACACUGGGACUGAGACACGGCCCAGACUCCUACGGGAGGCAGCAGUGGGGAAUUUUGGACAAUGGGCGCAAGCCUGAUCCAGCAAUGCCGCGUGCAGGAAGAAGGCCUUCGGGUUGUAAACUGCUUUUGUCAGGGAAGA
rnacentral:rRNA from 1 species